GGUGGCGUCAAGCUGCAAGCCCAGAGGAUUCAGCUGGCUAGGAUGUUGUGUAUGCGCCUGGCGCAUCUAUCAGCCGGAGUAAGAUGUGAUAGUCCACUGGUAAACGGUGGGCCCGGCCGCAAGGUUGGGAUAUGUGUACCGGGCGGAAGCCGGAGCAUGCUAUUCGUCUGUUGGGCUGUCUAGUCAGUGCACUUUCUCUGUGGUGAACACCACGACCGGUGGAAUUGCCAGUCUGCUGUAGUCAAGUCGUAUUCAGUCGGUUCUUGUAGUCAACUGGGUGCGAUCACAGGCAAACUCAGUAAACGGCGUAGGGGUGUCUCGGCAUCCUUACGUGUUAUCGGCUGCUGGUUGUCAACGGGCCUGCUUGAUGAUUGUUGUAACCGUCAUUAGGUGGUCUGGUGGGCUAUGGUGGUAAGAAUAACUGUGCAAGGCAUCGGAGUUCUCGGCCUCAAAUGCAUCCUGCAUACACGUUACAAGUGGAGUGGGGUGCCAUUGCAGCCUGCCUGUUGUUGGGUCUGAUUGUCGUGUCGCCU
rnacentral:rRNA from 1 species